rnacentral:rRNA from 1 species
UAGGGAAUCUUCGGCAAUGGGGGGAACCCUGACCGAGCAACGCCGCGUGAGUGAAGAAGGUUUUCGGAUCGUAAAGCUCUGUUGUUAAGGAAGAACGAGUGUGAGAAUGGAAAGUUCAUGCUGUGACGGUACUUAACCAGAAAGGGACGGCUAACUACGUGCCAGCAGCCGCGGUAAUACGUAGGUCCCGAGCGUUGUCCGGAUUUAGUGGGCGUAAAGCGAGCGCAGGCGGUUAGAAAAGUCUGAAGUGAAAGGCAGUGGCUCAACCAUUGUAGGCUUUGGAAACUGUUUAACUUGAGUGCAGAAGGGGAGAGUGGAAUUCCAUGUGUAGCGGUGAAAUGCGUAGAUAUAUGGAGGAACACCGGUGGCGAAAGCGGCUCUCUGGUCUGUAACUGACGCUGAGGCUCGAAAGCGUGGGGAGCGAACAGG